GGGGCGCCGAGCCUCCCCUGCUGCUCCCGGGAGGGGCUGUUUUUUCUUUUUUCUCUUAAACGUUUUAAAGGAAGCCGGACGUUGACUGGGAGUUCUUGCUUCUGCUUUGAGCUUUGCCGAGGACUUGACGGGGCCCUUGUUUUAACCCUGGAGUAAAUCUUGGGGCCCUGGGCUCCUGGGAUGUCGACUUAGCUGCAGUGUUUUGAGUUCCUUGGAGGUUCAUGUGAGGUGGAGACAGGUAACUUAGCGUCAGCUGUCCUUGUUUGCUUUUAAAAUGCUGUCGGGGUUGUCGGGCCGGGAGCGGUCUGAACUGAGGCCACUUAACUGAGGGAAAGGACGCGACGGGGCCUGGCUCGUGGGGGAUCCUCAGAAAAUCGUGGGUUCCGCUUCCCUCCCGACGCCCCCGCGCCCGCCAUGCUCGGCCGGGAAGACUGUUGGCUCCCGCCUGCCUUGGGAAGAGUGUAAGGUGGCGGAAACGACCUGUCCCCCCUUUCCAGAUGGUCACUGAGGGAGUCAUGAGGAGGGGCUCGGGGGAGGGGGCGUUUGAACACGACAGAGCCGGUACAUUCCCCUUAAUUGUAAGUAUAGGGAAGCUGAGGUCCAGAAAGAUGAAGUGCCUUGAUGGACCCAAGGCCUCAGGCCUGGUGUGGCGACAGGCGCGGGGAGAAAGGAGUGAGGGAACGGUGUGCGUCGAGCGUCAGCGGUGUGGAGGUGUCUUGCCAGAGGCUUCAUACACGGUACUUCCGUUGAUUCUUGACGUGUCUCCUUUCUGUCACUGUGCUCUCCCUCUGUCCGGCGGGAGUGUUUAUACAUCUAUGAGUCCGUAUUUUAACAAGCUCCACGACCUGAACCGCAGUAACGCCCUUCGGUGGGCUAAGUGGUGGGCGUCCUUGAACCCAGGUACAGGGCAGCGCAGUGCUCAUGCGGACCAGAGGGGGGAAACGCGAAGGAAGUUCCCGAGAACUGCGGCCCGGAAGAGGCGGGGAGGUAGCGGACAGACAAAAUAAUGCGGUCUGUCAUUGCUGCAGGGAAGUUUGGUUGGGGCGGAACUGCAAGUCCGGGAAUGUGUGGACUCAGAUUUUCAGGGCUGCGGUGUGUGGGUAAGAUGGCUGAGGAGCCGAGAGGGGUGACCCGAUCGUCUGCUCUGAUUGCUGUCCUGUAAUUUGGGCGCUAUAAGCAUCCAAUCACCGAACAUACCUACGCCGGCGCAUUGUCAUUUUUAUUUCAUCAUAAAAUUUGUAAUAUUUGUGUUAAUGAUAUAAUUUGAAGGGCUUACCGGGAGAGACAGCAUGGCACUUGUGGCGGGUCAUCGGGCAGUGUUAACUGGAAAGAGCAUCUGGAGAGUAACUGCCAGAAACAUUGUGUUGAGAAGGAUUCUGAGGUCAUGUUCCAGCUCAAGAGGGAAGAACGCUGCCGUGAAGAAGGGAGGAGGAGAAGAUGGCACUUGUGGCACACAUUUCCUCUCCCCCCAGAACUGAGAACAGCAAUGCCUACCAGACACCCUGCUCCUGAGAACGGGAACACCUUGAAGUGCAUCAAGGCACUUCCCAGGUAGAUCUCCAGAAGCAGUAACUGUCUCGAUCUCAGCUUCCCUGUGGUGGGCCAGAAUAAUGUUUUGUACACCUAACAGAGGGAAGCUGCAUACCAUUAGAGAGCUGUAUUAAUCUAAAUCCAGCCCUGACAACUCUUCAACAUGUUGUUUUUCCAAGUUCCAGAUUGCUUCAGUGUGUCCUGUUACCAUUUCUAUUUUUCGUCUUGUCUAGCAGGUGAACUUAUAGUGGAUAAUACCCGCAGUGUUUCUUCCUGAUAAUUUCACCUCACCCCAAGAUGCUCAGGAGCCUGAGAAGUGACUACGUGACUAUUACGAACCUCGUAGAAACUUCUUCCUGUUGCUUGGUUAUUAUCCUUCUGCAUUUUCUGGGGACUUCACCUUGGCACAGUAUGUGAUACUAAGUGUUAAUGAAUGUUGGAUAGUCACUGUAUGAUAAAUGCCGAGAAAAACAAGGAGUGAUGUAAAGAAAGAAGUGAAGAUCUCUGUCUGCCUUUAGCCCAGCUCCAUUUUUACACCACUCAGCAUCAGCCCCAGGGAUUGGGGUCUUCUGCGUGAAAAUAAGAUCAAUUCCAUCACCUCUGACUAGCUCUUCUUGCUGUGGUCCUGGGCUGGAGACAGGCACCUCCCUCACUAGUGUGGCCUGAGGAUGCACAGGCCCCCUGUGCUGGUGGUAACACCCUCACUGCCUAACAGGCUGCCUGACAUUCCCAGUUGGCCAUCCCUUGGGAAUAAUGCCUUGAAAUUUCAUCUUUUUUGAUAAGUGAGAUUUGGAAUAUUCACACGUUAAAAUGUUACUGUUCUCUAACCAGCCCCGUGGCUUAGUGGUUAAGUGUGCACGCUCUGCUACUGGCGGCCCGGGUUCGGAACCCCGGGUGUGCACCGACGCACCGCUUCUCCGGCCAUGCUGAGGCCACGUCCCACAUACAGCAACUAGAAGGAUGUGCAACUAUGACAUACAACUAUCUACUGGGGCUUUGGGGGAAAAAAGGAGGAGGACUGGCAAUAGAUGUUAGCUCAGAGCCGGUCUUCCUCAGCAAAAAGAGGAGGAUUAGCAUGGAUGUUAGCUCAGGGCUGAUCUUCCUCAUAAAAAAAAAAAAGUUACCGUUCUCUAAUAGCACAGUACAAGUUAGUGUCCCUGAUGAGCUGGAAGGAUCACCUCUGAAGGCACUAAAGGAAUGGUAGAACACAAGGCACGUCUUCACUCGAUAAAAAAGGGGCUGGAGGAGAAGGAGCCCUGAGAGAACAAGACCUGCUCUGGGAGGGGUCCAGCAGGAGCCACUGUGGAGGGCCUGGGGCACUCAGAGGAAAACACGGGGCCCCAAGUGACAGGGAGUCAGGUGAAAAACAGUCACAUCUGUGUAGGGAAGACUCAUACCUAAGACCUAAGACCCCCACUACCUUACCCUUCUCCCAAAAUGUGUAGUUACCACCUUGCCUUGGGAUGCUUCUGUGUAUAGAGUGCUACACAGGAGAGAGGAGCGGGGUUUGGUCAACAAUGUUCCAUACUCUAAAGAGACACGUUGUAGUGUUGUGAAUGGAGUAGAAAAAAGACAAGAUUUCUCAGGAAAUAAAAACACUUCCACUCUUACUAACAGUUUUAUCCACUCACAAAUCUGUGUAACUGAUUAAAAAGAUAUUUGAAAAGAAUAUUAAUAUUCAUAGAUGUUAUUUUGGCAAAAUAUGCUAAAAAUUACCACUUAAUUUAUAAUAGUUAAAAAUUGAAUGCAAGCUAAAUGCCCAUGAAGUGAGGACUAGUUAAGUAAAUUCUGCUAUAUACAAUGGAAUUUUAUGAAGUCACAAAAAUAAAGAUGUCUAUACAUCCAUACUUAUUAUUAGAGAAAGCCAUAAGAUAUUGAGAGAAAAGGCAGAUUACAUAACUGAAUGUAUCAUCUGAUCCUACUUAGAAAAACUGUAUAUCCCUAUGAAUCUACAUGCAAAUAGAUGUCUUUAGGGAUAUUCACAAAUAGACUGUGUUAAUAAUGAUCAUCUUCAAAAUGCAAAACUUAGUUGAUUUGGUUUUCCUCUGUUGUUUUUUUUUUUUUUUUCCUUUAAAUCUGUAUCUUUCCAAAAGCAAUAAUGCAUUUUCUCUCUCCAAAAAAGAAUAGCCUAACUGAGUCCUAUUACCUCAAAUGCUUUUCUUCCCCCUCUGGUCUUUGUCUAAAACCAUUGCCAGCUACAACAAGCAAGAAUUGUAAAGAAGAAUCCAUGCCUAUGAUAGAACAGCAUCCAAGCUGAAGGACACCUCGUCCAUGGCUAUAAGACCAGGAGACAAAUGGAAGCAGUGCUUCUAAUGCAGGAAAGUGCAACCUGGAAACUUGGCAUUCUGGACAGAAUUCUAGCUUUUAGACUAAAAGGCAUUAGCUGGUACAACUUCUUGCCUUUGGGUACUGAACGUGUUAUCCUCCAUUUUAUGUAACUCACUAUAAAAUUAGCUAAUUAUAUGCUGCUACUUAAGCUGAGAUACCUUCUGUCCAGUCACUUGGUUUCUGUCUUUUUGAGGGCCAUGCCACCUCACUGCCACUCCCUCAUCCCCUCUCUCCAGGGCUGUACUCUGCGUAGCUGAGUAGAGGGAACUAUGUAAAUAUUAUCUACCUGUGCCUUUUAAUUAUUAAAACAUUUUAAAAGGCAAAUCUCCAAACUGCAGACCAUUGUCUUCUCCAUUGAAAAGUAUUUUCCAGGGGCCGGCCCCGUGGCAUAGCUGUUAAGUGCGCGCGCUCCACGACUGGCGACCCGGUUGGGAUCCCAGGUGCCCACCGACGCACCACUCGUCAGCCCAUGCUGUGGCAGCAUCCCCCAUGAAGUGGAGGAAGAUGGGCACAGAUGUUAGCUCAGGACCGGUCUUCCUCAGCAAAAGGAGGAGGAUUGGUAUGGAUGUUAGCUCAAGGCUGAUCUUCCUCACAAAAAAAGAGAAAAAGAAAAGCAUUUUCCAAAGGUGUAAACUUGAAAGAUAACAAAAAUUAAGUAUAUUUGGUGUACAAAGGGAGACUGAAAAUACUAAACCUCAAACCCAGCAAAUAAGACUCAAUUUCUUUUUUGUGUGUGUGUGUGUGUGUGUGAGGAAGAUCAGCCCUGAGCUAACAUCCGAUGCCAAUCCUCCUCUUUUUGCUGAGGAAGACUGGCCCUGGGCUAACAUCCGUGCCCAUCUUCCUCCACUUUAUAUGGGACGCCACCACAGCAUGGCUUGCCAAGCAGUGCGUUGGUGCGCAACCUGGAGGCGAAUCCGCAAACCCCAGGCCGCCCCAGCGAGCGUGCACACUUAACCGCUUGCGCCACCAGGCCGGCCCCUCGAUUUCUUUUAAGAAACCUCCACCUAGAAAGAGGACUCCCGCACUGCAGCUCAGAGCCUUGUCCUAAAUGAGAUAAUGAGAGGCUCGUGGUACCUGCUUUGUAAAGCCGGAUGCAGCCCUGUUACUGCCAGCUCCAGAAUCCAGGUGUCCCGCUCCUCCGCUACAUCAUCCACUCAGAAAAUCACAGCAGCUGAGCUCUGUGAAUUAAACAACGUGAUUGAUCAACACUGAUCUGAAUUCCUACAUUUCUACAAAAUUACUAAACAUUGAACUAACUUCGAUUUGUAAUAGCCCUCUACAACAAAAUAAUUGAAUAAAUCCCUUAUUCAAUGAGUCAAUACAGCAGAAUUACAUCAACAAAUACUUGGGUGUCUACUGUGGUCUCAAGGAGCUGAAGAAGCUUGGAAAAGAGUUUGUAAACAUGGAAGAGUUUGUAAACAAACUGGGGAGGCUUAAUGGGAAACUCAUUUAUUCAGAGCCAAAAAUCCAAGACCAGUAAGGAGGUUUUUUUUAAUUAUAGAAUGCUCUUUUUAUGCCUAAAAAAAAUAAAAUAAGGUUGUGAGGUGAAUCUGAAGAAUAAAAGAAACAUCAGACUGUAUUUAACAAUGUUCUUCAUAAAGAAUAUUUUGUUACAGUUUUAAUUUUCUGAAUAAUAGUUGUGUGAGUUGAUAUAUAGUCAACAUUUUGAAGGCUACAAUGACAACAGCCACUAUCACCCCAGUCUCCCUCACGGAACCACUGGGGGAGAUUUCAAUUUUAUGUGUCAACAUACCAUAAAAAUGUAAAGAAUUAGCGAAGCUGUAUAAAUAAUAAAUUAUCUACAAAAGUCUGGUUUUUUUUAUUUCUGUGAAGAAGAUUGGCCCUGAGCUAACAUCUGUUGCCAGUCUUCCUCUAUUUUGUAUGUGAACGCCACCACAGCAUGGCUUGAUGAGUGGUAUGUAGGUCGGUGCCAGGGAUCUGAACCUGCAAAACCUGGGCCGCUGAAGCGGAGCAUGUGAAUGUAACCACUACACCACCAGGCCGGCCCCUCUGUAAAAGUUUUAUAUGGAAAUAUGAAGUUGACAUGUUUAGCUAUCCCAGUUCAGUCAAGAUGACCAGAACAGUUUCAGAGAAGCAGAACUAGAAUUUGAUUUGAACUAAGAAAAUUUAAACCUGAUUAUAUUGGUAAUGCCUCUUAUUUCCCUUUCAUUUUUUUAAAAAUCAAUUUUAAUGAGGUAUAGUUUACAUAAAACAAAAUACUUCCAUUUUAAUUAUCAAAACAUUUUGAUGAGUUUUAACAAUUUAAUAUACCAAUGUAACCACCACUACCACAAUCUAGAAAAAGAACAUUUUCAAAAUAAAAAAAAGAUACAGACCAUUUUCAUUACCCUCCAAAUUCCCUUCUGCCCAUCCAGGUCAAUACUCCUCGACCUCAGGCAACCCCUGAUCUGUUUUCUGUCAUUAUGGAUCAAAUUUGUCUUUUCUAAGGUUUCACAAAAAUUUAAUCAAAUAGUAUGUAUAAUACUCUUUUGUGUAAGUCUUCUUUUGCUCAGCGUAACGUUUUGAGAUUCAUCCGUGUUGUUGUGUGUAUCAGUAGUUCAUUUGUGUUGAUCGCUGUGUAGUUUUCCAGUGUAUGAAUAUACCACAGUUUGUUUAUAUACCACAAAUGUCAAUGGACAUUUAAGUUGUUUCUAGUUUUUGUCUAUUAUAAAUAAAGUCAUUAUGAGCAUC